rnacentral:rRNA from 1 species
AUUGAACGCUGGCGGCAGGCUUAAUACAUGCAAGUCGAACGGUAACAGCAGAAAAGCUUGCUUUUUGGCUGACGAGUGGCGGACGGGUGAGUAAUACCUAGGAAACUGCCUAAACGAGGGGGAUAACAUUUGGAAACGAGUGCUAAUACCGCAUAAUACUGAGAAGUCAAAGGUUGGUUUACCAAUCGCGUUUAGAUGUGCCUAGGAGGGAUUAGCUAGUUGGUGGGGUAAAGGCCUACCAAGGCGAUGAUCUCUAGCUGGUCUGAGAGGAUGACCAGCCACACUGGAACUGAGACACGGUCCAGACUCCUACGGGAGGCAGCAGUGGGGAAUAUUGGACAAUGGGCGCAAGCCUGAUCCAGCGACGCCGCGUGAGCGAUGAAGUAUUUCGGUAUGUAAAGCUCUAUCAGCAGGGAAGAAAACGACGGUACCUGACUAAGAAGCCCCGGCUAACUACGUG